rnacentral:rRNA from 1 species
UUCUUCCUACGGGACGCAGCAGUGGGGAAUAUUGCACAAUGGGGGAAACCCUGAUGCAGCAACGCCGCGUGAGUGAAGAAGUAUUUCGGUAUGUAAAGCUCUAUCAGCAGGGAAGAAGAUGACGGUACCUGACCAAGAAGCCCCGGCUAACUACGUGCCAGCAGCCGCGGUAAUACGUAGGGGGCAAGCGUUAUCCGGAUUUACUGGGUGUAAAGGGAGCGCAGACGGCAGUGCAAGUCUGGAGUGAAAGCCCGGGGCUCAACCCCGGAACUGCUCUGGAAACUGUGCGGCUAGAGUACUGGAGG